CGUAUCGUUGCUCCAGGAGCCGUAUGUGG
rnacentral:sRNA from 1 species